rnacentral:rRNA from 1 species
GACGAACCGUGCGAACGUUGUUCGGAAUCACUGGGCUUAAAGGGCGCGUAGGCGGCUCCGCCAGUCGGGGGUGAAGUCCCACGGCCUAACCGUGGAAGUGCCUCCGAUACUGCGGGGCUGGAGGGAGGUAGGGGCAGCGGGAACUUCGGGUGGAGCGGUGAAAUGCGUUGAUAUCCGAAGGAACGCCGGUGGCGAAAGCGCGCUGCUGGACCUCUGGUGACGCUGAGGCGCGAGAGCCAGGGGAGCAAACGGG